GUGCCAGCAGCCGCGGUAAUACGUAGGCAGCAAGCGUUGUUCGGAAUUACUGGGCGUAAAGCGAGUGUAGGCGGUCGGCCAAGUCUGCUGUGAAAUCUCCCGGCUCAACUGGGAGGGUGCGACGGAAACUGGCUGGCUAGAGUGCGGGAGAGGAGAGUGGAAUUCCUGGUGUAGCGGUGAAAUGCGUAGAUAUCAGGAGGAACACCGGUGGUGAAGACGGCUCUCUGGACCGCCACUGACGCUGAGACUCGAAAGCGUGGGGAGCAAACAGGAUUAGAAACCCUGGUAGUCC
rnacentral:rRNA from 1 species